GCCCGGCUAGCUAAGUCGGUUGAGCAUGAGACUCUUAAUGUCAGGGUUGUGGGUUCGAGCCCCACGUUGGGCG
rfam:Danio rerio chromosome 4, GRCz11 reference primary assembly.